CUUGGAAAAGUCUGCCAUGUUUGCUGCUCGCAUCGGAUGAGAAACUUGUAAUUUGUAAACAAGUUAGUAAACUUUUUUAAAUUUUGAAGUGAAAGCAGAAAAGGAGAUAUUUUUUCUUGGUAAAUUCGCCUGGGACAGCGAGUGAAGGUGAAACGUUCUGUGACAUGCAGCAUUUGUCUCAACCUGCUCAGCUCACUUUCUCCGCUGUGCUGCUGACCACUCUGACCGCCGUUAUAUUGAUGUUGUCUAUGAGUACGCUAAUCUGGCUGAAACUGAAGCAACUGGCUGAUAUACAGAGUCUUCAAUCUGGAAGUACGAGUGCUGGUACAGUGAACAUUUAAGGUCAUUUGAGCUGAGAUCCUCAGGCAACGUCUCUGUGCAUCAACUGUCGGAGUUAAAUGACGCAGUAAGUCUCACAGCAUUCAAUAUCGAUGGGCAUUUAAUGCUGACACAAAAAAGAUUUAUUUUGAUCAGAGACUUACAGGAUUAAAAUGUUUUUAUAAGUGGGGUCCUGUACAGUGUCAUGGAGCAGUGUGGAGAAAAACACUGGUGUAAUGUCACAAUCAAAAUGCCUUUAGUGACACUGCCCUCCAUGACAAGCCUAGAUAGAUCAAUGAUGUUUUUAAUUCAAAACUUAAAAUUUGCUGGAAAUUGCCUGAAUUUGUUUUGAACAAAUCCUGAUUGCGUGUUCCUCAUUAAUCCAUCUCUCUCUUCUCUUCUUUUUAAUAAUAGGAAAUGGCAGCUCAAAAUUUCCUACUUCAUGUCCAUACCUCCAUGGACAUUGUGUCCGGAAGGUGACUUUAUCUUCACGUCCAGAAUCUGUGGAUGAGCUAAAAACAAUGCUUAAAGAAAGGUUUAAGCUAGACUUUGACUUUUGCUUAUCAUACCAAGAUCCAGACUUUGACGGCCAGUUAUGUUCCCUUGUAGACAUUGAGGAGCUUCCAAAGAAGGCUGUACUAAAAGUUUUAUGGUCUGAGAGUGAUACCAGUUCAGUAGCAUCAGAUGAGACAAUAAUAUUGCCCCAUGCCAUGACUCCAGACAGGGCUGAGAGAUGGCGUUAAGUAGAAAAUAAACUCUAGUGUGCCCCAUAUGUAUUUUCAGUGUAGUGAGGGGAGAUGAUACUGUUAAUAUACUGUAUGUAUUCAAUUACCAGGUUAUUAGGUACACCUGGCUAAAACUGAUUGUCUAAUACAGUCCUUCAACAAAUCCUACCAUCAUGAAGGUUAUAAUGUUUAAUAAUAAUGUUUUACGGUUCAGAAAUUACAUUAAUGGAAUGUGAUUAAUUGUUUGUGAAGGUCUCUUUUGUCUUCUGACAAGUUGCUCUUUCAGCAUCUUUUGGAUAUAGUUUAUUCAAUCUGGGGUAACCGUUCCCUGUUAUUGUCUUCAGGUGGCGCAGUCUGAUGAACCAAACAUCGACGACAUACCGGUUGGGCUCCUCUUGAUCAGUGCCAAUUCAACAGAUGCCAUGUUCUUCUGCCCAGAGAGGAUUGCAGUUGUGCUUGAGGGUAACAUAGUUAUCGAAUGCACCACAUUGGCUGACGCAUUUGUCAUGCUUUUUGCACUGAUUUAUGCCUUGCACCUAAGUUACCCAAAAGGCUUGGCCAAUACAUUUGAUUUUACCCAGAAAGUCUUGAUGGGCCUGGAAGAUGGAAAGUUGAGGCCCAGGGUGUUGAGCCUUAAAAAUGACAUUUUGGCAGUGGAGUAAUUUCACUGUAUAAACAAACAAAGCUAGCUGACAGUUGUUUGACCGUCAGCUCCUUUAGGGACAGUUGCUCCUUUACUUGAAACUUUUCAUAUGCACACGCACUACUGUCUUUUGGGCAUACCAAAGAGCUAUGAAAGGAUUUUUAAAACAAUUUUUUUUUAAGCAUCUUAUAGAUCCGUUUUGAAAGUAUUAUUGUCCACCUUAAAGUUUGAUAGUGUUUGUACUGUAUGGAUGUAUGGAAAACAUUUUGCCAUACUGUUUAUACUGCAGUACCCAUUUCUUUGAUAUUUCAAAGUGUAUUAGGUCUUUAUGGGGCAGUUGGUAAAUCAUGAGCAGAACUGUUUAUGGAAAUCUUUGAUUUUAGUGUGAAUGUGAUGAAGUACCUUGAAUUUGUAAGGUAUUUAAUUGGCUGAAUCAACUAACCACAGACUUUCCCAUCUGGUUACUUUAUCCAUAAAAAGUUUCUUAAUUGAUUUUCCAUAAAAAUGACUAUCAAGACAUAUAUAUUGAUAAAAUGACAUGCCGUGCAUUCGUCCACUCAUAGAAGUGAUGGUUUAAAAACACUUUACUCCGGCCAUUUCCUUAGGCCCUUGCACUAUUUUUAAAAUACUGUUAUUUCUAUUUCUGAUGUCACUGUUUGACUUUUGACUGUUUGAUGAAUAAGAUUGUGAUUAGGGUUCUGUGAUUUACACAUAUACCUGUAUACUGUGAAAAGUGUCAACCACCAGAUAUUUUGCCUUUAUGCUUAUAAUGAGUCAAAAUGCUUCAGUAUCUACAUUUAUUUGGCCACUAUGUGUAAUGUGCCGAAUGGUUUAUUGUGAUUUUGUUUUUUUAUGAUUUUGGCAUCAAUGUGAUGCAGUGCCUAGUCAGGUAUUUAAUUUACAGAUUAACCAAAUGCAUACACAUUUAAAAAACACUGUCACACCAUAUAUCAUCACAAUGGAAAGUUGCAUUUUAUUUAUAUUGUCCACUUCUAGAGGUGAUAAUUCCUCAGGCCAUUUCCCAAGGCCCUUGCACUGUUUUUAAAGUGUUUGUUUCCAUUUGCCAAACAUUUUUUAUGGUUAAUGUUUGGUUAAUGUUAUAUGGUUAUUCAAUAAAAGAGUGACUUCAUUUAA